GGGUGUUUGGUAGAAGGUCUGAGGCAAGAUGCGGUUUCUGGUCGUAAAUCUAGUGACAUCAUGUUUUAUUUUAACAGCAGCCACUAAAGAUGGAAAGUUGGACAAGCUUCAAAAUUUGUUCGGCGGCGGCGGUGGCGGCGGCGGAAUUGGUGGUAUGGGCGCUGUAAAUUGCUAUGGAACUUGUU